GAGGCUGGUGAUGUAAUCUGACACGGGACCCAUGUGCUAAAGACACCUAAUCUGGCAUCUACGUAUUCCACAGCUGAACACUUCCCAAAGGGAGAAGAGAGGCACCAAACCGAACACAUGCAGGAGGAGGAGGAGGAGGAGGGGGAGAGAACCUGGAGUCAAUGGGUUGGAAGGGACCUUGGAGAUCUUCUAGUCAAACCCCCUGCUCAAGGCAGGAGACUUUAUACCAGGGGUCAGUAACCUGUGGCUCCAGAGCCACAUGCGGCUCUCUGGGCCCUCUGCUGUGGCUCCCUGUCAGGUGAUCCCACCACUGGCUGGCUCCGCCCCUCGACCUCCCCUCCCAGUCACUCCUCGCCUGGCCUGAGCAGACUCGAAGUUGGAGACGGGAGGGGCCCGGCUGAGGAGAGGAGGGAGGACAAGACACAACAAGACGUCUUCGGACAGCGCUGGCUCUUCGGCUUUGAAACGGAGAUGAGCACCGCCCCCUAGAGUCGAGAACGACUAGCAUUGAUACUUUAUUUAGUAUCUUAUGACUAUCACCGAGUGCUGUCUCUGAAGAUUUACGAUGAUUGUAAAAAGACGCUACAGGGCACUGCACAUCAGAACAACUAGACACAAGGACAGUUUUUCCCCUUGCAUGCCAUCACUCUGCUAAACAGCUAAUUCCCACAACACUGUCAAACUAUUUGCUAAGACUGUAUUACUAUUCUUCUUCUCAUCUUUCCUAUUACCUAUCUCCUUCCACUUAUGACAAUAACCAUGGUGCUUGUAUUUUUAUGAUUUAUAUUGCUUUAUUUAGGUUUUCUAAUAUGAUUUGAUUGCUUAUUUAGUAUCCCGUGACUAUCACUAAGUGUUGUAUUUUAUGAUUCAUGACGAAUGUAUUUUUUA